UCAGACGAUGCGUCAUGCAUAUCAAUAAGCGGAGGAAAAGAAACUAACAAGGAUUCCCUUAGUAACGGCGAGUGAAGCGGGAAGAGCUCAAAUUUGAAAUCUUCAAGGUUUUACCUUGACGAAUUGUAGUUUAAAGAAGUGUUUUCCUGUUGAAGUUUUGGUAAAAGUUCUUUGGAAUAGGACAUCAUAGAGGGUGAGAAUCCCGUAUUUGACCAUUAUUUCAGCUUUGUGAUACACUUUCAAAGAGUCGGAUUGUUUGGGAAUGCAGUCCAAAAUGGGUGGUAAAUUUCAUCUAAAGCUAAAUAUUGGCGAGAGACCGAUAGCGAACAAGUACCGUGAGGGAAAGAUGAAAAGAACUUUGAAAAGAGAGUUAAACAGUACGUGAAAUUGUCAAAAGGGAAGCGUUUGACACCAGUGUUGUUUUCUCGAAAAUCAAUUAAAAGAGUGGAUUCAUGCUAGUUGUAUUGACCUUAAUCAGCUUGCUAAUUUGUUUCUGGUUCUUUUUUUAAUGCACUUUUCGUUUAACAAGUCAACAUCAGUUUCUUUUGUUGUAAAAGGGUCAUUGGAAGGUGGCUUUCUCUUCGGAGAAAGUGUUUAUAGCCUUUGAUCUCUGCAAUCGGAGAGACUGAGGUCUGCAGCGUAGAUCCUUCGGGGUUAGAUACAUUUGUGCUAAGCUACAGCUUUUCAUAGACAACUUGUUGACUAGUGUUUAGUCUUGUAACUUACCCGCUUAUGCUAUUUUACCUACGCUUAGGAUGUUGAUAUGCAUGCUGAUAU
rnacentral:rRNA from 1 species